AUUGAUCAUCCCUUAGGCCUAAUAGAAAAAAACAUACCUUUACUUGUUUUAGGCUUUACCUCAAAGGAAAAUAUUGUUUUGUAAAAAUUUACUCAUUAAAAUUUUAUGAAAACAUUUUAUGUUCAUAUAUUAGUUCCACUACAUCUUUUAGGAGUGAUCUGGAAAUUAUGAUUUGUACAUAUUGAAAUCUUUAUCAUACAUAUCAGGUCAACCUUCUCAUUUAUAUUGGCAGAAUAUAUAAUUACUGUUAUAACUGACGAAUAAUUUAGGAACUGUUGAAAAUGCAUGGAGAAAUUUGUUCGGCAAGGUACAGACAUUAAGCUUAGCAUCAGAAAACCUCUGGAUUCCUGGAACUGUUUAUCAUAUGCACAUUAUCAACAUGAUCAAAUCAGAAAGAAUGUGAAGACAUGAAUGGAGAUUGUCAUGGUGAUCAAGAGACCUUACCAUAUCAGAUAAAAGAUAAGGUUUACAACUGCAAAUGUAAUAUCAGUUUUGCGGACAAGACAAUUAGCUACACUGAGUGUAGGCCUAUGUCCUAAUCAUGAUAAUACCAAUACAGCAGGACAAUUAUGUUUCAGAAAAUAAAACCUGCUGCAAAAUAAUGA